GACGAACGCUGGCGGCGUGCUUAACACAUGCAAGUCGAACGGAAAGGCCCUGCUUGCAGGGUACUCGAGUGGCGAACGGGUGAGUAACACGUGGGUGAUCUGCCCUGCACUUCGGGAUAAGCCUGGGAAACUGGGUCUAAUACCGGAUAGGAGCCAUUUUUAGUGUGAUGGUUGGAAAGUUUUUUCGGUGUAGGAUGAGCUCGCGGCCUAUCAGCUUGUUGGUGGGGUAAUGGCCUACCAAGGCGGCGACGGGUAGCCGGCCUGAGAGGGUGGACGGCCACAUUGGGACUGAGAUACGGCCCAGACUCCUACGGGAGUCAGCAGUGGGGAAUAUUGCACAAUGGGCGCAAGCCUGAUGCAGCGACGCCGCGUGGGGGAUGACGGCCUUCGGGUUGUAAACUCCUUUCGCUAGGGACGAAGCUUUUUGUGACGGUACCUAGAGAAGAAGCACCGGCUAACUACGUG
rnacentral:rRNA from 1 species